rnacentral:rRNA from 1 species
CGUGGGCAAUCUGCCGAGAAGUGGGGGAUAGCUCGCCGAAAGGCGAAUUAAUACCGCAUAUGACCAGGGAAGACAUCUUCCUGACGUCAAAGGUGCCGCAAGGUACCGCUUUUUGAGGAGCCCGCGGCCUAUCAGCUAGUUGGUGAGGUAACGGCUCACCAAGGCUUUGACGGGUAGCUGGUCUGAGAGGACGACCAGUCACACUGGAACUGAGACACGGUCCAG